ensembl:lncRNA
GAAAGUUCCUUUUUCCUGGCCUAGACCUGGGAGCUGCCAGGCUGCUGUGAGGGCCUGGGCUUGAACUGUACCAAUUUUUCACAAAAAGAAGAGGAAAUUGAAGAGCAGAUGAUUUCAUAACGGUUGGCCACUGAUGCUUUACAGAGCUGCAGGGCGGACCGAGGAAGGACGGGACGCGGUACCCAGCCGGGCAGCUCCGCGAGGUCAGCCCCGCUCGGCCUGUGAUGCCCUCCAGUGGCAGCCGCGUGUGCUGCCGUGCUGGGCGAGGGGAGCGGGAAGAGCGCUCCGAAGUGCUUCCUGUCCCGGGAUGCAAAGAUAUUUCUGUUGCUGCCUUAGCAGUCUCAUAAGCCAUCCCUGGUGAUGACCACUGAGUCAUGCUCUGAAAAACUGGCUGUUCCUGUGAUCUGCAGAUUCAUUGAGCCAGCAACGUAGUGGCAGAGCUGUUUGGUACUCUUAGAGCCUCAGUUGCACAGUGUGCAUGUACCUCGUAGCUGGCUCAGCAAAUCAGUCCUUGCAGCACAUCUGUGAGAUGGUUGUCUGGGUUGAUAUAACAUCAGAGAUGAGCAGCUCAUCCUGGAGCCAGAAUACAGGUAAAGUUUAAACACUUGAGAUGAAAGCUGUGGGUGGAGAGUGAUGUUGUGGGGCCAUUCAGAGGGCCAACACAAGGUAGACUUUCAUCAGAAUGGCUUCAUUCACCUGGCAGUCUUUGUAUACUAAAGGUGUCCUUGAGGAGUGUCAGUCCUCCUGCUACCUCUGCUCUGAUAUUUGUUGUUUUUGUUUUAUUUUUGCAGGUCUUUCUCUCAUUGUAAAGAGCGUGGCGUUCAGUUUUGGCAGAUAAAGGUUAAAUAUGCUCCACUGCACGGAAGCUGGACCUUGAAUCAAGGCAUACAUUUUUAACUGAAGGGAGAAGAAGGUGUUAAAACAAUUCAGAAGUGUGGUGCUUUCUCACUGCUUUGUUCACUGUACACUUUAGCUGUUGUUCUCUGGUACAGCCUUUCAGUAUGUUAGCAUUGCUCACCUGGCCACCUUGUGCCCUGUGUAUUAACAGUGGUUGCAGGCUGAGUCACCUGUUUGUAGGAGACACGUGUUGUGCUCAUUGCAAGACACUGAAAUUGUCUGACCUGCCUCAUAGGAGGUUGGACGAGAUAAUCAUAACAGCGCUUUUCUGUCUUGGAAGUCUGUGAAUUCCUGGUGGGCUAAGAAAUGAAGCUAUACUUGCAUAGUUCAGUGCUGCCAAAAACAAAACCCGUUUUGUUUUCCAAGCUGUAAGUCAGUAUUCAAGUGAAGAAGGCACUAACCACUGUUCUAAGAGCAUAUUCUGCUCCUGUUUUCAUGGUUUCUGAAAAGCUUAUUUUGGGGAAAUGCAUUUCUUCUCUUAAUUUCUCAGCCAAUUGGAGAAAAACAGACAAGCUUUUGGCACACAUUUCUACAUCAAGUCUCUCUAAAUUUUGCCAAGCUUUAUUUAUAAGGACCAUGUCUACUGUAGAGACAACCUGUUCCUGACAAACCGCUAGAAUAGAAAAUUUGAACCAAUUAUUUUUGUAAUGAAUGUACAAUAAAUCUGUUGAAAAGCUAUCUGUUAAUGACUCU